rnacentral:rRNA from 1 species
CCUUCGGGAGCUUUUAUACAGGUGCUGCACGGCUGUCGUCAGCUCGUGUCGUGAGAUGUUGGGUUAAGUCCCGCAACGAGCGCAACCCUCGUCACUAGUUACUAACGGUUCGGCCGAGGACUCUAGUGAGACUGCCUUCGUAAGGAGGAGGAAGGUGAGGAUGACGUCAAGUCAUCAUGGCCCUUACGGCUAGGGCAACACACGUGCUACAAUGGCCAGGACAGUGAGAAGCGAUACCGCGAGGUGGAGCAAAUCUAUAAACCUGGUCUCAGUUCGGAUUGUAGUCUGCAACUCGACUACAUGAAGCUGGAAUCACUAGUAAUCGUAGAUCAGCUAUGCUACGGUGAAUACGUUCCCGGGUCUUGUACUCACCGCCCGUCACACCAUGGGAGUUGAUUUCACCCGAAGCGGGGAAGCUAAACUGGCUACCCUCCACGGUGGAAUCAGCGACUGGGGUG